UAUAGAUUUAUAGGCACAAAAGGCCCAUUGAUUACAUUCUAGAAACAUGCAUUAGGGUAUAUGAAGAAACAUAGACCUGAAAAUGUAAGAAAAGACAGAAAGUCAAUCCUCAAUCCUGAGUGCUAAAAAGCAGUCAGAGAGAUAGUCAGGUCUACAAAAGGUGCACAGGUGAAGAUACAAAGAUGACAAGUGUGCACAUGCUCCCUAGAGAACCAGCAGCAACUUAUCAGGUUUAUUUCAAUAAUGAUCCUUCCGCAGGUUCACCUACGGAAA
rnacentral:misc_RNA from 1 species